rnacentral:rRNA from 1 species
UACAGAGGUCUCAAGCGUUGUUCGGAUUCAUUGGGCGUAAAGGGUGCGUAGGCGGCGCGGUAAGUCGGGUGUGAAAUCUCGGAGCUUAACUCCGAAACUGCAUUCGAUACUGCCGUGCUUGAGGACUGGAGAGGAGACUGGAAUUUACGGUGUAGCGGUGAAAUGCGCAGAUAUCGGGAGGAACACCAGCGGCGAAGGCGGCGAUCUGGGUCGAUACUGACGCUGAGGUGCGAAAGCGUGGGGAGCAAACAGG